CUUACAUACUCAGACUACUGUAUAACUUAGAAUUAGUGUUACCUCUGUUUAACAAACUGACAUUCUGAUACCUUGUUAUUGUCAUUCUGUGCUAAAAUCUCAUUAAAAGAAAGAUUGACAAAAAAAAAAAAAGUCAAUUAUCAGUGUUUGCAGAUGACAAAAUAAGGUAAGGGUAACUACGUUACUGCAGGACAGUACUUCUCUACAAAUUAAUUUGGAUAAAUGAGGGGACUGAAUAGGAAUCAAUAUAUAUAAAUGUACAGUUGAGCAUUUUGGGAUACAUAACCAACGUAUAACAUAAAUUGGAUUUAGUUAGGGAUAAUGUUAAAUGAUAAGGACUUAGGAAUAGUUAUUGAGUAUAGAAUAGGCAACAGUGUGCAAUCUCAGGCUACCAUUGCAAAGGCCAGUAAGGUGCUGUUAUGCAUAAUUCACAUGAAAAAUAUAUUUAUAAAUUUGCUUUUAUAAACCAAUGGUUCGAUUCCAUCUUUAAAACCAAAAUUGCACAAAAUGUUUAAGUAGAACAUUAUAGAACUGCAGAGGUGGACCACAAAAUGAAUACGGCAAAUGGAAAAUGUAAGUUAUGGCAAAAGACUAGAAAAUCUGUAUGUUUUCUUUAUUGAAAAAUAAACAAUUUUUUUUUUUUAGAGAUAUGACAUCACCCAUAAAAACUUCCAAGCAAUUUCACGUACAACAGAGGGAAAGCUUUUAUAUAUGUAAGAACAAUCAAGUUGUGGAAUUAUCUGCCCAAAGAGGUUGGUUUCUAUUAAUAUUUUCUUUUUUUUUAAUUCAAUAAAUUUUUGGGGAAAAAUUUGAAGGAGCACUAUAGGGCCAGGAACACAAACAUGUAUUCCUGAACCUAUAGGGUUAAAACCACCAUCUAGCCACCCUGGUCUCCUCAUGCCUCCCUAAAUAUAGCAAAUCUUACUUGUAUUCAAGUCUGCAGCUGCAUGCUUUUGUGCCUGUUUCCUUUAGACCUGCCCACUGCCUGCUGACAUCAUCAGAAGUGGUAGCCUGAUCCAAUCACAAUGCUUCCCUAUAUGAUUGGCUGAGACUGACAAGGAGGCAGAUCAGGGGCAGAGCCAGCAUGAUUCAAACACAGCCCUGGCCAAUCAGCAUCUCCUCAAAGAGAUGAAUUUAAUCUAUGAAUCUCUAUGAGGAAAGUUC